GUUGACGGAAAGAUUGAGAAAAACAUUCUUUUAUGGAAACACGUUUCUUGAAUUUAAUCCCCUUUGGUGGAGCAGCUUGGAAAAACAAUAUUACCAUGCUGUCUUUUCACCUCUCAGUGACAUGGAAGAAAAGAAGGGAAAGUGUUGAAAUUUAGACGAAGUAGUAUAUAGUGGCUCUAUUACGAGUAGUUACUGCUCCAUGCACUCAUUUUUGCUGUUUUACAGUUCCAUCAAUCAUCGCUGAAAUCUCUGGACGUCAAACAGUAACUAAAGGAGGGAAUGUAACACUGAAAUGCCUAGCCAAUGGUAAACCAAAACCAGCAAUUACAUAAGAUAACAGUGUUGUUAACAUGACGUUGACUGACAUUAGAAGACACGAUGCAAGAAACUACAGGUGCUCAGCACCACAGCAGAGGUCUCGAUUGAUGUCCAAUAUCCUGUUGAAGCCACAGGCUUUGGAGAAGAUGCUACAGUGCUUGAGGAAGGUGCAGAAACGUUUUCCUGCCCAGUGGAUGGAAACCCACAACCUAACUUUACAUGGUAAAGGGGCAGUGAAGAUAGUGGAAAGCCAAUUUGUUAUGAGGAAAAGUUGAAAGCAAGAGAAAGUGGGUGCUACACUUGAGCUGCAAGUAAAUCUGUAGGAAAAUCAGUCAGCAUCACCCAGUGCUUGGAGAUGGUAAUUAAGCUGUGUUUAUUUAAAAUAAAUUUGUUCUUUAAUGAAAAAUCAUUUUGCCAUUUUUCUGGUGCCGGUGUUUUCUUAUGACCUUUGCUCAGUAAACAUGACAUCAAAGGAUCUGACUAAAAAAAAUUUGCUUUUCUCUAACGCCCUCUACAGGUUGACACCUUGAAAUGAGCAUAUUUUUGGAGAGCAUAAAUUUUCAACAUUUGAUUAACACAACAUAAUCACGAGAUUUCUAAUUUUUUGACAAUGAAAACCAUGCUUAGUAUACAUGAAACAAAUAUGAAACUGAUUACAUGCAUUUGCACGUUACAUUUACUUCUCUGUCAUUAGGAAUUUAAAAUUAACUUUAGCACAUAAAGCUAAAAUUGCUGGGUUUUUUUCUUUGUU